GGGUCAGUAGGUUGGUCGUGCCACCGGUACGUACUGGUCUCACUGAUUCCUCCUUCCUGAAGAACCGUAAUGCCAUUAAUUUGGUGUUGCGGGGAAACAGGACUGUCACUUUGAAAAAAUUAGAGUAUUUAAAGCAAGCUAACGCUUGAAUACAUUAGCAUGGAAUAAUGAAAUAGGACGAUCGAUCCUAUUUUGUUGGUUUCUAGGAUUGACGUA
rnacentral:rRNA from 1 species